rnacentral:rRNA from 2 species
UCCUGACUGACCGAUAGUGAACCAGUACCGUGAGGGAAAGGCGAAAAGAACCCCGGCGAGGGGAGUGAAAAAGAACCUGAAACCGUGUACGUACAAGCAGUGGGAGCACGCUUAGGCGUGUGACUGCGUACCUUUUGUAUAAUGGGUCAGCGACUUAUAUUCUGUAGCAAGGUUAACCGAAUAGGGGAGCCGAAGGGAAACCGAGUCUUAACUGGGCGUUAAGUUGCAGGGUAUAGACCCGAAACCCGGUGAUCUAGCCAUGGGCAGGUUGAAGGUUGGGUAACACUAACUGGAGGACCGAACCGACUAAUGUUGAAAAAUUAGCGGAUGACUUGUGGCUGGGGGUGAAAGGCCAAUCAAACCGGGAGAUAGCUGGUUCUCCCCGAAAGCUAUUUAGGUAGCGCCUCGUGAAUUCAUCUCCGGGGGUAGAGCACUGUUUCGGCAAGGGGGUCAUCCCGACUUACCAACCCGAUGCAAACUGCGAAUACCGGAGAAUGUUAUCACGGGAGACACACGGCGGGUGCUAACGUCCGUCGUGAAGAGGGAAACAACCCAGACCGCCAGCUAAGGUCCCAAAGUCAUGGUUAAGUGGGAAACGAUGUGGGAAGGCCCAGACAGCCAGGAUGUUGGCUUAGAAGCAGCCAUCAUUUAAAGAAAGCGUAAUAGCUCACUGGUCGAGUCGGCCUGCGCGGAAGAUGUAACGGGGCUAAACCAUGCACCGAAGCUGCGGCAGCGACGCUUAUGCGUUGUUGGGUAGGGGAGCGUUCUGUAAGCCUGCGAAGGUGUGCUGUGAGGCAUGCUGGAGGUAUCAGAAGUGCGAAUGCUGACAUAAGUAACGAUAAAGCGGGUGAAAAGCCCGCUCGCCGGAAGACCAAGGGUUCCUGUCCAACGUUAAUCGGGGCAGGGUGAGUCGACCCCUAAGGCGAGGCCGAAAGGCGUAGUCGAUGGGAAACAGGUUAAUAUUCCUGUACUUGGUGUUACUGCGAAGGGGGGACGGAGAAGGCUAUGUUGGCCGGGCGACGGUUGUCCCGGUUUAAGCGUGUAGGCUGGUUUUCCAGGCAAAUCCGGAAAAUCAAGGCUGAGGCGUGAUGACGAGGCACUACGGUGCUGAAGCAACAAAUGCCCUGCUUCCAGGAAAAGCCUCUAAGCAUCAGGUAACAUCAAAUCGUACCCCAAACCGACACAGGUGGUCAGGUAGAGAAUACCAAGGCGCUUGAGAGAACUCGGGUGAAGGAACUAGGCAAAAUGGUGCCGUAACUUCGGGAGAAGGCACGCUGAUAUGUAGGUGAAGUCCCUUGCGGAUGGAGCUGAAAUCAGUCGAAGAUACCAGCUGGCUGCAACUGUUUAUUAAAAACACAGCACUGUGCAAACACGAAAGUGGACGUAUACGGUGUGACGCCUGCCCGGUGCCGGAAGGUUAAUUGAUGGGGUCAGCGCAAGCGAAGCUCUUGAUCGAAGCCCCGGUAAACGGCGGCCGUAACUAUAACGGUCCUAAGGUAGCGAAAUUCCUUGUCGGGUAAGUUCCGACCUGCACGAAUGGCGUAAUGAUGGCCAGGCUGUCUCCACCCGAGACUCAGUGAAAUUGAACUCGCUGUGAAGAUGCAGUGUACCCGCGGCAAGACGGAAAGACCCCGUGAACCUUUACUAUAGCUUGACACUGAACAUUGAGCCUUGAUGUGUAGGAUAGGUGGGAGGCUUUGAAGUG